AUCAAAAUGUGCAUGUGUGGUGGAGUAAAUGAUAGUAAUGGUGAAAAUGUAUAAGUGAUGAUAAAACUUACUUCUCAUUGGUCCUCAUAUUGCUAUCUCUCCUCCUCUCUUGAUCUUUGCUUUGGGAGAACAUGGGCUAUCUUUUCUUCUCUCUUUCUUUUUUUUCAGGUGGGUAGUAAAUACCCCUAAUCCUACUGUCGGACACUUGUUCAUUUUUUCCGCUCAGGUGGGCAUCUUUGUACCCCUAAUUCUACUCCGGACACUUGUCCAUUUUUACCUCUCGUCUCACUCUUUUUCUUUCUUUUUCGAGGUUCUGGGCACUUGCCCCUUUUUAUUUCCUCGUAUAUUUUUGCAUAACCCAUGCCUCUUCUGCAUUGAAUCUUUUUGGGGAGAGAGAAUAACAACACUUGGGACAAUGAGUGAUAACAAUAUUUUUAGCAGUUUUUGAAUGAAUGGUGAUGGAUGGUGUAAUAGAUGUGUGCAAGUGAGUAUCUUGAUUUAAUCACAUGAAAGCUCCUAAGGGUCUACAUAGCUCAACUAAACUCAAUGUGAAUAUAAGUAGCAAAAGAUAUAGAAAUUAUAGCAAGUAUGGCUGUGGUAGGAAUUUUGUCAUGCUAGGAACUCAUCAUGUGAUUUGCAAGUUUUUAAAAAUGAAUCUCUAGAACUUAGUGUAGUAAGAACAAGAUAAACAGUAGCUCAAACUUUAUAUCAUGUCUAUCUCUUACCUAGAAUUUAGUUUUUGGUUCAUGCUCCCAUAGAUAUUCAAUUUCAAGUUUUAGCAAUUCCUAGGAGAACUCUAAUUUGAAAGCUAGGUACUUGAAAGUAAGUAAACAGAGCAACUGUUCAUCAUUUCCAUCAUGCGUCUUUUUGGUUUUUUCAUUUUUUUCUAGAGAUUAAACUUAGGAGGAAAAAUAAAGCACACUUAUCUACACACUCUUUUUUAUGUGGUUUUUCAUUUUUAAGGAAUGCAGUAAAUUAAGCAAGAAAGUAUUUAUUGGGUUUUCUAAGCUUCUUUUUUUUGAAAUACUAAAACAGAAAAAUAAAUAAGAAAAACAAAUAAAAACUUACUCGGAAAAACGGGGAGGAACUCCCCCAAGCUGGAUGUGGUUGUGUCAGUCUUACUCAAUGUUCCAGAACUGC
rnacentral:lncRNA from 1 species